rnacentral:rRNA from 1 species
AGUGAACGCUGGCGGUAGGCCUAACACAUGCAAGUCGAACGGCAGCACAGUAAGAGCUUGCUCUUACGGGUGGCGAGUGGCGGACGGGUGAGGAAUACAUCGGAAUCUACUUUUUCGUGGGGGAUAACGUAGGGAAACUUACGCUAAUACCGCAUACGACCUACGGGUGAAAGCAGGGGAUCUUCGGACCUUGCGCGAUUGAAUGAGCCGAUGUCGGAUUAGCUAGUUGGCGGGGUAAAGGCCCACCAAGGCGACGAUCCGUAGCUGGUCUGAGAGGAUGAUCAGCCACACUGGAACUGAGACACGGUCCAGACCCCUACGGGAGGCAGCAGUGGGAAAUAUUGGACAAUGGGCGCAAGCCUGAUCCAGCCAUACCGCGUGGGUGAAGAAGGCCUUCGGGUUGUAAAGCCCUUUUGUUGGGAAAGAAAAGCAGCAGGUUAAUACCCCGCUGUUCUGACGGUACCCAAAGAAUAAGCACCGGCUAACUUCGUG